GACGAACGCUGGCGGCGUGCCUAAUACAUGCAAGUCGAGCGCAGGAAAUCAUCUGAACCCUUCGGGGGGACGUUGAUGGAAUGAGCGGCGGACGGGUGAGUAACACGUAAAGAACCUGCCCUCAGGUCUGGGAUAACCACGAGAAAUCGGGGCUAAUACCGGAUGGGUCAUCGGACCGCAUGGUCCGAGGAUGAAAGGCGCUUCGGCGUCGCCUGGGGAUGGCUUUGCGGUGCAUUAGCUAGUUGGUGGGGUAAUGGCCCACCAAGGCGACGAUGCACAGCCGACCUGGGAGGGUGGUCGGCCACACUGGGACUGAGACACGGCCCAGACUCCUACGGGAGGCAGCAGUAGGGAAUCUUCCACAAUGGACGAAAGUCUGAUGGAGCAACGCCGCGUGAACGAUGAAGGCCUUCGGGUCGUAAAGUUCUGUUGUAAGGGAAGAACAAGUGCCGCAGGCAAUGGCGGCACCUUGACGGUACCUUACGAGAAAGCCACGGCUAACUACGUGCCAGCCGCCGCGGUAA
rnacentral:rRNA from 1 species